GACGAACGCUGGCGGCGUGCUUAACACAUGCAAGUCGAGCGGUAAGGCCCUUUCGGGGGUACACGAGCGGCGAACGGGUGAGUAACACGUGGGUGACCUGCCCUCAGCUCUGGGAUAAGCCUGGGAAACCGGGUCUAAUACUGGAUAUGACUCCAUGACGCAUGUUGGUGGGGUGGAAAGCCUUGUGCGGCUGAGGAUGGGCCCGCGGCCUAUCAGCUUGUUGGUGGGGUGANGGCCUACCAAGGCGACGACGGGUAGCCGGCCUGAGAGGGCGACCGGCCACACUGGGACUGAGACACGGCCCAGACUCCUACGGGAGGCAGCAGGUGGGGAAUCUUGCGCAAGUGGGACGAAAGCCUGACGCAGCGACGCCGCGUGAGGGAUGACGGCC
rnacentral:rRNA from 1 species